UGUGGGCUGAUGGAGUCAAAAAUCCUUCUACAGCUAAGUGGAGUCAUUGAACUUACCCUCAGCAGCAGGAACCAGGAGCCAGCAGCUGUGGCUGGCAGUAACCUGUUGCUUUUCUGCUCAGAGAAAUAAUGGGAACAAGGCUUUGGGUGAUGUGAAGCAGGAUUAAAUUACCCCAAUUUCUGUGCUUCUACAUGAUACUGCAGUUUGCAAGG